UACAGAGGUCCCAAGCGUUGUUCGGAUUCAUUGGGCGUAAAGGGCUCGUAGGCGGCCAACUAAGUCAGACGUGAAAUCCCUCGGCUUAACCGGGGAACUGCGUCUGAUACUGGAUGGCUUGAGAUUGGGAGAGGGAUGCGGAAUUCCAGGUGUAGCGGUGAAAUGCGUAGAUAUCUGGAGGAACACCGGUGGCGAAGGCGGCAUCCUGGACCAACACUGACGCUGAGGAGCGAAAGCCAGGGGAGCAAACGGG
rnacentral:rRNA from 1 species